rnacentral:lncRNA from 1 species
GACUUGAUGUCUAUCCGGAUGCUGGAAAACUUGAACUCUGGGAAGGAUAGGAACGUUGCUCCCAUUCGGAAGCAGAGAACAACCCGGGAUAGGGGAGGAUGAGAGAUGAGAUUGGAUGUACUCGGACGUAGACUGAGUGGAGGAUUUGUUGAUGGAUGCUAAACGGUAAUGCAGGGCUGAUCUUUGAAUGAAGCAUAGAAUGAGCUGGGAGCUGGGAGUUUAGAUUGCACGAGAUGAAAUCUAAGAUGAUGCGGACGGGAGGAGGAUUCAGGGGAUUUAGGUUUCAUCCCGCCUGGCUAUAGGAUAAGCUUGAUCCGGUUGUUGGAACAAGGACGUUUGGAAGAACAUGGAGGUUGAAACAGGGGAUUUUAUUUGUAAAUGUGAUCUGGCGAAGAGGAUGAAAUGGACGUUGGAGACUCGAGAUUUGGUGGGAGGUGAAGGUUGAGAUGCUCACGAGAUGAGGAUGAAGACUGAUAGCUAGGUGGAAAUCGAAACAGGGGAGGAGGAUGAGAGGAUAAGCUUGAUGGUUUGGUUUAGUUACUAAAUACGGAAGCUGGGGAAAUGGUUGGAGCGUGGGAUUUUAGUUGAGGAGUGAAUGGAGCUUUAGGAUUUGUGCAAAUAUGUUGGUAUGCUUUGAGAUCUAUGAGACAAAUGAUCGAAGGGAUUAUAUUAUUUUUAAUGUUAAACAGGAGAAUUGGAAUGAGUGGGAAGAAAUUUAGGUGAAUGUGUGAAGAGUCAGGAAUUAAUGGGAAGCACUGGGUUUUGGAGAAGAGUUCUUAGAGUCGACUCCGAAGAAUGUGAAAUUGUAAAAUGAUGUAGUGUCUGUUUAGGCUUUACCUAAUUGAGCUCGACUCGACCUGCAUGCAUUAAGCUUAAUCAAUAAAUAAUCAAAUCAAACUCGAAUUACCUUGGAUAAUUUAUUAAAAUGCAAUGGUGAAGGUAAUACAUUUUUUAAGUUGAAUUUACAAAAUAUGUGAAUUAAAAUAAUGAUAAGUGCUAUGAAUAAGAUAAUAAUUUAUGCAUUAUUUAGCACUUAUCACACCCCCCAACCUACAUUUUGCUAGUCCUCGAGCAAAAUAAAAAAAACUAACUCACUUUCGCAGGAAUCGCGAUUGCAUUUACCGAAUGCAAUAAGGCUUUAAACCCCUAGGUGGCCCUAGUGGACGAGUUUUGUCUCGUGAGGGUUUCCAGCUCAGAUACCCACAAACUGCUGUCUAAAGAAUUUAUUUUAUUGUUUUAUAAAAUCUAAUUUCAAAUGCAUUAAUGCCAAGAAUUUUAAAAGCACACAAAGUUUUAAUUACUAAGUCAGCCCAAAUCCUAGGUCAGUAUGCAACUUAAGUUGAAGUUAUUAAGUUUCCGUUAGAGAGUUGUAAGACUAAUUUAUACUUGGAUGCUCGGUGAAAUCUGGACCAUACACAAGCUAAGGUUUUAGAUUCCCCAAAAUACUGCUAAAGCUAGUAGUUUCCAAGAAUUGGUCAGAUAAGACCUAAUCACUGAUUCAAAAUCAUCCUAUCUUGCAGGCUUUCGAGAGUUGUGGAUGUUUACUUUAAUACCUCAUGGGUUUUAUCUGUAAUAUUCCAGCUUACUCGAAUUUUUACAACGACGGCUUUCACACUAUCGUCUUUUUCAAGGUCAAUAUUAUUUUCUCUUUCUUUUUU